rnacentral:lncRNA from 1 species
UGUAAUUUUUAUAAAAAAAAGAAAGAUUGUGAGCUUUACAGCCUAGUAAAAAUUCUAUACACUCACACCAGCAUGAAUAUGAAACAUCUUUUAACACAUAUACAUAUAACUGAUAAGAAAGUAAUAAGAUACAUACAUCGUCAAUAUGAUAGUUGAAUAAUAUUAUCAAAAUUCUAUUCAAUACAUUAGAUGUUAUUAAUCAGCUAUUCUAUUCAGUAAUCAUUCAGAGAAAUUUCUUAUGAUAAUCUGGUUAACACAGUUCUGAUCCAAACAACAUUAUUCUAUUCAGUAAUCAUGCUCCAGCCUGUGGUAGGUCAUUAUGUUUUUAUUUAUGAUCGGCAACCAUAUUUCAACCCACAGCUAACAUCACAAUACCAUGUUUCAUAGAUUCCAGCUAGCCC